UUGAAGAAAGUAAUUUGGUUAAAUUUUUGUGAUAUUUUUCAGGUCAAAACGGGGUUAACAAUGAAGAAAGUUUCUUGUACGGUGAUCUAUAUGUUUUUUGCAUUCGGUGUGAUUUUCUUAUGUUUUAGUGUGUUUCAGUGUGUACGUAUUUUUUAUUUAUUUUAAUGUAAAGGUUUUUGAAUUUGAAGUAUUUCUAAUGAUUUUUAUGAUCAUCUACAGAUUACAGACGCCAAAUCCUUGAAUCAGGUAUAAUCAUUUUUCUGAAUAAUAGCAAUAAUUUAUGUUCGCUGGCACUGCUGAUGAUAGAUCAUGCUUCUUAUGUGAUUUGAAUGGAAAAACUUGUUUUGUUUUUCAUUUAGCAUGAUACUCAUGUCGAUUACAUCUUGGUUGUUAGGGUAGUCUCAUGUGUAAAUCCACUCUUCUUUGCUCAAUUACAUGGUAUAAUUUUACAACAAUGAAAUAUUUUUUUUAAGAAAUUCAUAAAAACAUCCAUAUAACUUAUUAUUAUUAAAUCAUAUAGUCCAAGAUUAAAUUAAAGAGAGAAAAAAAAAAAAAAAAAAAAAAAAAAAAAACCCGUACAUUUAGGUUGAGCGCUGGUAACUUUGCAUAUUAAUUGCCUAAAAUGAAACCCAAAUUUUGGUUGAAUUCUGAGAGCUUAUUUUCCUGUUUUCUAAUUGGUGAUGUAUUGGUGCAGAUAUUGUUUGUAUUAAAAGAGAAACAAAAUAGAAAUGCCUUGUGUUUAUGGGCAAUAUCCCAAUUCUACCUUUGGGAAGUCCACUACCUAUCCAAGUUCACUCUUCACGGCUCAGUUUCUAGCAGUGCUUCAAAAUAGCGGAAUAAGUACUACUAAUAUCAAGUUCUCAACUCGUAUAAUAGUGUCUAGAGCAGCAUUGAAUUUGAAGGACUUUAAUGUGGAUGUCGAGCUAGGCAAUGACAAGUAAUAGUAGUGGUGCUGGCAUUUUGAAUGGGAAGGCUACCGAAAAGGUCAGAGACUACAGCUAAAGAAUGCUGGUUGUUAAGCGUUCGAGAGGAUAAGAGCGCAAAUAUGAACAUCUUCGUAUCUAUCUUGCUUUGGCAAAUCAUUCUCCAUUUCUGCUAUCAUUAAAAUUUUGUUUGAUUGCAAUUUUACAAUGCAAUAAGUGAAUGAGCAUUUUGCAGUUUGUUCUAAUUUUGUCCAACUAUAUAUUGAUUUUAAGUUUGUUUUAUUCUGUGCUACUGAAUAUUUAGUUGAUGGAUAAUGUUUGGUAGAUUAGUGAUCUAUUCCCAGAAUCUGCGUUAUUAGAUUGAAUAAAAUAUUUUUUUUUUCCAAUUAAUAGGAAAUUUGCAAUGUUGAGAAUUCAGGAGUCCAAUUAAGUCUACUUUAUGUAGUCAUAUAG
rnacentral:lncRNA from 1 species